UUUCCUCUUUCAGAGAAGGAGCGGGAGCAUCAGAGGAAGUGACGAGGACCAGAGGGGCAGCCGGGAAGGAAAGCAGUGAGUAUAAAUACUCACCCUUCGACGCCAACGGCCAUUUUGAGUGCGAGCAGCAGCAGAGGCAAGACGGACCCGGAAGACUGCAGCUAAGGUAAAGCAGUUUAUUUUUAAAAUUACUUACCGGUAGCGGGCAGCGGUGUUUUUUUUCCUCUUUCAGAGAAGGAGCGGGAGCAUCAGAGGAAGUGACGAGGACCAGAGGGGCAGCCGGGAAGGAAAGCAGUGAGUAUAAAUACUCACCCUUCGACGCCAACGGCCAUUUUGAGUGCGAGCAGCAGCAGAGGCAAGACGGACCCGGAAGACUGCAGCUAAGGUAAAGCAGUUUAUUUUUAAAAUUACUUACCGGUAGCGGGCAGCGGUGUUUUUUUUCCUCUUUCAGAGAAGGAGCGGGAGCAUCAGAGGAAGUGACGAGGACCAGAGGGGCAGCCGGGAAGGAAAGCAGUGAGUAUAAAUACUCACCCUUCGACGCCAACGGCCAUUUUGAGUGCGAGCAGCAGCAGAGGCAAGACGGACCCGGAAGACUGCAGCUAAGGUAAAGCAGUUUAUUUUUAAAAUUACUUACCGGUAGCGGGCAGCGGUGUUUUUUUUUUCCUCUUUCAGAGAAGGAGCGGGAGCAUCAGAGGAAGUGACGAGGACCAGAGGAGCAGCCGGGAAGGAAAGCAGUGAGUAUAAAUACUCACCCUUCGACGCCAACGGCCAUUUUGAGUGCGAGCAGCAGCAGAGGCAAGACGGACCCGGAAGACUGCAGCUAAGGUAAAGCAGUUUAUUUUUAAAAUUACUUACCGGUAGCGGGCAGCGGUGUUUUUUUUCCUCUUUCAGAGAAGGAGCGGGAGCAUCAGAGGAAGUGACGAGGACCAGAGGGGCAGCCGGGAAGGAAAGCAGUGAGUAUAAAUACUCACCCUUCGACGCCAACGGCCAUUUUGAGUGCGAGCAGCAGCAGAGGCAAGACGGACCCGGAAGACUGCAGCUAAGGUAAAGCAGUUUAUUUUUAAAAUUACUUACCGGUAGCGGGCAGCGGUGUUUUUUUUCCUCUUUCAGAGAAGGAGCGGGAGCAUCAGAGGAAGUGACGAGGACCAGAGGGGCAGCCGGGAAGGAAAGCAGUGACCAUAUAUAUCAGCAAGGCGGCUUAACCCGAGACUCUACAACUGUAGUGUCUCCCACCCGCCGCCCUCCUCUAACCUAGUUAAUAAGGCUAUACACCAAUUCCUCGGGAUCUGCCCAGACUCAUCAUCCCUCCUGGGCCUGGCUUGGCACUCACUACCAAGACUCAGCUAAAUUCGCCUCACUGCCCCCAUGGGCUCGCCACCCCGAGGCCUCACCUGGGCUUGCCACUCCAAUGCCUGAGAAUAAUCUCCGGGAUUUCACACGACCUCCUGUCUCCUCCAUUCAUCUCUGUAUAAAAGCUUACCUCGUGCAGCAGACGCCCUCUUGUUUUCAGCAGCGGGUGUGUGGAGAGAACGCGAGCCAGGAAGGAAUUGACAUAUUCGGGCAUUGCUAAACCCAAAACAUUAAAUGUGGAGGGCCGGUAAGCCACUGGUCGGUGACAGAAGAGCGUUACAAGUAAGGCAAGUUAAGGGAUCGCGAAUGAUGCACUGGAGGAGACUCAGCUCUUGACCUCGUUCAGCAGGCAGACGAUACAAAAGCUCAACACAUGGACCAACAGAUUCAAGAACAGUUUCUUCCCCACUGUCAUUAGAAUUCUGAAUAAACCUCUC